rnacentral:misc_RNA from 1 species
CUGUGCUCGUCCGUCGAACGGCCGGCAGGCAAUCCGUGUCGCUUGUUGUGGGGUGGGAUGGUGCCUCAGAGGCUGGUUCUUGUGUUGCCUACCAUUCAUGGGAAGAGGCCGCUUGACAGUUAGCCUCCAUCCGGCGCCCUCCCCAACGGGGCGCAGGAGGACAACGAAGCACCCCUCGUGUUCCACCGAGCCUUCACCGGUCGCGUGGCGCACGGGGACGUGCAAUGCUCUCGGACCCAGCGCACGCCGCGGACGUGGACUCGAUUCCCGUCCUAAGAGAAGCUUCGGUAUAAUGUAUGACGGCCGCUCUCGCCCCUUGGCCGCCACCGCGGUGCAAGGGCGACGCGCGACGUCGCGGAGGAUUGCUACCUGGUUGAUCCUGCCAGCAGUCAUAUGCUUGUCUCAAAGAUUAA